AGUGAACGCUGGCGGCAGGCCUAACACAUGCAAGUCGAACGGCAGCACGAGAGAGCUUGCUCUCGGGUGACGAGUGGCGGACGGGUGAGUAACGUCUGGGAAACUGCCCGAUGGUGGGGGAUAACUACUGGAAACGGUAGCUAAUACCGCAUAACGUCGCAAGACCAAAGUGGGGGACCUUCGGGCCUCACACCAUCGGAUGUGCCCAGAUGGGAUUAGCUAGUAGGUGGGGGUAAUGGCUCGCCUAGGCGACGAUCCCUAGCUGGUCUGAGAGGAUGACCAGCCACACUGGAACUGAGACACGGUCCAGACUCCUACGGGAGGCAGCAGUGGGGAAUAUUGCACAAUGGGCGCAAGCCUGAUGCAGCCAUGCCGCGUGUAUGAAGAAGGCCUUCGGGUUGUAAAGUACUUUCAGCGGGGAGGAAGGCGGUGAAGUUAACAGCUUCACCGAUUGACGUUACCCGCAGAAGAAGCACCGGCUAACUCCGUGCCAGCAGCCGCAGUAA
rnacentral:rRNA from 1 species